rnacentral:lncRNA from 1 species
AGUCCUUGUACUCCUUCAAUAGCUUCUUCAAUUCUUCCUGUUGCUGAGCCAACAGCUUAGAACUUAUAAACAUCGGCCUGUUGUCUACAUAAGACCCCAGGUUUACUUCUAUCAACAAAUCAUGGGUCUCCAGCUUUUUCUCGCCGACUUUAAUAGGCGAUUCUUCCAGCUUCAUUUCUGCUGUUUGCCUAUUCAUUUGACCUUCUUCUUCGGCUUUAUGACACGAAUCUUUCAUAACUUCUUCGGCCUUUUU